GAUGAACGCUAGCUACAGGCUUAACACAUGCAAGUCGAGGGGUAACGAGAGGGAAGCUUGCUUUCCUUGUCGACGACCGGCGCACGGGUGAGUAACGCGUAUCCAACCUGCCCCCAACUAGGGAAUAACCUUGCGAAAGUAAGACUAAUACCCUAUAAUUUCCUCAGAUGUCAUCUGACGAGGAAUAAAGAUUUAUCGGUUGUGGAUGGGGAUGCGUCUGAUUAGCUUGUUGGCGGGGUAACGGCCCACCAAGGCAACGAUCAGUAGGGGUUCUGAGAGGAAGGUCCCCCACAUUGGAACUGAGACACGGUCCAAACUCCUACGGGAGGCAGCAGUGAGGAAUAUUGGACAAGGGGCGCAAGCCUGAUCCAGCAAUACCGCGUGUGUGAAGAAGGCCCUAGGGUUGUAAAGCACUUUCAAUAGGGAGGAAAACCUGUCGGUCAAUACCCGGCAGCUUGACAUUACCUAUACAAGAAGCACCGGCUAACUCCGUGCCAGCAGCCGCAGUAA
rnacentral:rRNA from 1 species